UAUUAGUUGAUGAAUUAAAGAAAAUCUUUUACAUGUGUUAAUUUUACAUUUGAUUGAGAGUCAUGAUUUUACUUUUUGAAAAUUAUUCUUUAAUAUGGAGGAUAAGGAGUCUGUCUUCAUUAUUUAGUUUUAUUGAUGCUCAGUGAAAUGGCAUUGUUUAUAAUUUGCUAUGAGUAUUUAUUCCUAUUACUUGAUUUAUAAUACACUGUGUAUAUUUAUGCCUGUUAAACCUCCACAGAGGAGGUUUUAUUCUUUUAAAUUAGUGCUUUUGCAAGCAAAUCCUCAAAAAAUUUCAAUUAGGUGAAAUAUCCAAAUUUGAUAGGCCCAAUUAACAUUUGUAGUGAGGACCCUAAAUGCCUAAGAUAGACAAAACAGAGGCCAAUUUGGUGAUACAGUUAAGUAAAGUUGACAUCAUCUUAGAUCCUUCUGAUUUCCUCUUUUGCCUCAUUCUCCUUUUAUCUUCCUGUGGAUGUUUGGUAGGGUAUAUUGAGACAGGUAUUUUAAAGAGCAACUGAGUGAGCCUGUGCUUCAUAUCCGUUUGCAUGCCUUUGUUAUUUGCCAUUCAGUAAGGUGAAUGGAUACCCUAUUGCUAACAGCAUAAUUUAUGCUUUGGAUUCUCUGCCUCUAGUAUUCCACUGAUUUAAAACAAUGUAGAUUCCAAUUUCACAAGCAAUACUCAUUAAUGGAUUUCUCCAUUUCUUUGACUAGAAGUGAAUGACAGAUUGUGAAGAUUGCUUUGAAUUAUGAGGAAACUCUGAUAUGAAUAAAGUGGACUAAUAAUGAAGCAUUCACUUACUGAUCACAUCUCAUUUGUCUACGUUCCAUUAAUUUUAUAUAAUGCCAUACUCAUUGACUUAGGUGCUUUGUGUUUGUUAUCCUAAUGUGCUGUGGAAAUAACACCUUUUGAAAUUCCCAGCUCAAAUUACCCUGCAUAACAGUUGAAAGUGAUAACUUGAGCUUUGGGGAUGGGUUGUGCUGUAUCAACACCAUCAGUUCUUUUCACUUUUGUAAAAAAACCAACAACAAAGUAGUUGAAAUAUAAAUGCUCCAAUUUUGCCUGAUCAUUGUGUCAAGUGAUUUCCAUUACUGAGAGCUGUUAGGUAUAAACCCAUUAGUCAUCUUUUGGCAAUUGUGGACCAGGGAAUUGCCACAUUAUUGUAAAGAAACUAGGAGCUUCCUUUGUGUUUCAUGUUUACUUAUUAUAGACAAAUCAAAACAUUAUUAGGUCCUGGAUGUUAAAGUUCCAGAAGAGUCUCAAGAUCUCUCAUUGUUCCUGAAACUUUAAACUCUUUUAAAACAAUUAUCUUGGUUUGAUACUAACUGGCGAAGUGAUAUUUGGCCAGUCAGUUAACCUCUCCCUUCUGGGUUUCUUUAUCUUGAAUAGGCGGUUACUGGGGUAGGUGAUUGGGAAGAUUUAUUUUCAGUAAGCCUUAUUUAUUUGUUUAUUAUUAUUUUAUCUUUUCUAGGGCCGCACUCACAGCAUAUGGAGGUUCCCAGGCCAGGGGUCUCAUCAGAGCUGUAGCUGCCGGCCUGUGCCAGGGCCACAGCAAUGCCAGAUCCGAGUUGCGUCUGUGACCUACACCACAGCUCACAGCAACACCAGAUCCUUAACCCACUGAGUGAGAGCAGGGAUCGAACCCACAACCUCAUGGUUCUUAGUCGGAUUUGUCAACCACUUAGCCACAACAGGAACUCCCAUUUUCUUUGAAAAUAAUGAUACUUUACAUUAUUAAACUGUUCACAGUUUACAAAUUACUCCCAGAAACAGGGUAGUCCCCUCAUACCCAGCAGCUUGUAGUAUGUAGUAAGUGUUCAGUAUAUGCUUGUUGUGAAUUAAUACAUUCUAAUGCAAAUGUUUUAAACCUUCCUAGUUCAGGUUUGCCUUUUUCCAAGUAUUAGAAUAAUAAUAGAUAAGAAAAACAUUUGGCCUUUCCUCAUUUUCUUAAAUGGAGAUGAGUUAAUCGUGUUCGUUAUAAUGGAAGAUAGAUGUUUUCUUAAGUGAUUUGCAAUAGGCAACAUGUGGGAAAAGUACUGGAUUUGGAGAAGAACUUGUUUCUAUUCUGGCUCUAUAGCUCAGCUGGAAAAUUCAUAUCUCUUAUCUGUAAAGUAGGAAUGGUAUCACUCAGAAUUGUGGUAUAUAUGAAAGUACAUCAUCAUCUGUGAAGUGCUUUACAACUGUGAGAUAGUCUCACUCUUUGAUUAGCUUAUACAACUCAUCAAACUAGAUUAAGAUCUCUUAAUUCUUUCCCCCUGGGUUUGAAAUGGAUAACUAGAAAGGUCGAUGAGUUAGUUAUGCUCACAAAACCAAGGUGAAAAGCCAAGGCAGCUAUGACAAGGUUGAAGUUCAUCCAUCAGAAGUGAAUGAAACAGAAAGGUCCACCUCCCUAAUCAUUUUGAUCACCAGGGUGAUGAUGACCGACCAGUGAGACCAGUCAUGGACACCCAGUGUAAAGAUGGCCGUAGCAGAUGUGAUCAUCCUCAUUGCAGAUGAUUUAAUGGAAAACAGCAACCAUUAACAACACAAGACUGGCAGUAGGGGAACCUUGAUUUAAACUCCUGCCAAUGACAAGGAAUGUGAUCUAAAGCUAGUUACUUAAUCUUUCUGAGCCCCAGUUUCCACUUCUGUGGAAUCGUGGUUGGGAUGUUGGACAUCAUUGCUGAUUCCUGUUCCAGACACGCCUUCCAGCGAUGGAAUGAGACACGAUGGUGGAGCUUUGGAUUUGAAUGCGUAAUCUUAAUAGGAAAUGGAGAACUUUAACAUGGGAAACUUGCAGCAGAGAGGGCCUCCUCCCAUCCAACAGGCCUGGUAAGAAACGUGUUGAGCAAAGGGAGGCUGCUCCUCGCUGAUAUUCAUGCAGGAACUUGUUUUAAUUGUGUUUCUCUGAUUAGAUCAGAGGCCUGCAGGUGGCCGAGGGCUUGAGUAAAUAAAACUGCUCUGUGGGACUCGGCCUACCACCUCAACCCUGUUUUCAGGCUCACUACAGGACAGGUGAUGGGAGGGCAAUAGGAGUGGGAGGAGAGGAAAAUACUUUUCUGCGAGAAGGAAGUGAGAGCCGAGGUCCCUAACAAGUUGAGAAAAUGAGGCCCCUGAUCUGCAAACUUGCUCUGCUGGGCCUGUGCCUCAGAGAUGGCUGUGCAGCUAGCUGUGUGUGUGCACUGUGUUUCUAGGCUUCGCUGCAGCGCUCUAAGUGUCUCUGUCCUUGUGCCCUGAGCACCUCAGCAUCUAUCUUUACCCUGCCCAGUCUGCUUUCCACCCCCUUCUCAUUCUCCCACCUUGUUUCUGCUACUGGGCUUGGAUAUUUGAUUAAGGAGCUCUGAGAAAAAUCAACUUCUUUAUCCACCACUUUCCAAAAUUCUUCUGAUUGUCUCUGUCCUUUCUUUUGGCCAUGCCUGGGACACGUGGAAGUUCCAAGGCCAGGGAUUGAACCCAAAUCACAGCAGCAGCCUGGGCUGCUGCAGUGACAAUGCUGGAUCCUUAAGCUGCUGCACCACAAGGGAACUCCAUUUCAGUCUUUAUUCAACAUAUUUUCCAGAAGACCUGAUAAACUGGCUUGCACUGAGGAGGCAUGCUCCCAAAGGAUUAGCAUUUUAAGAGGCAACAAAUCUUCAUGUCAAACAAAGCAAUCUCUAAUUGUAUAGUUUUAGGCAACAGUAGAAAGAAAGACUGUUUUUGGAGACGUUUGCAGAGAGAGAUAGUAUGGGUGUUUAGAAUUUUAAUUUAAUAAAGAAAUCACCAUUUCCUACCUAUAAAAUGCAGAUUACAAUAAUAUCUAUACAGGAGAAUUUUUGAGGUUUAAAGUAAGAUAGUACAUAUGUCUAGCCCUGUGCCACAUACAAAAGGCAGUAUUUGUGGAGUUCCUAUUGUGGCUCAGGGGGUUAAGAACCCAACUAGUAUCCAUGAAGAUGUGGGUUUGAUCCCUACCCUUGCUCAGUGGGUUAAGGAUCCACUGUUGCCUCAAACUGCUGUGUAGGUUGCAGAUGCAGCUUGGAUCUGGCAUUGCUGUGCCUGUGGCAUAGGCCCACGGUUGCAGCUCUGAUUAGACUCUUAGCCUGAAACUUCCACAUGCUAAAGGUGUGGCCCUAAAGAAUAAAUAAAUAAAUAUGUGUAUAUGAAAUUUUAUUCAUAUUAUCACACUGGAAGAGCCACGUUCCAGUCUCUCUCUGUCUCCUCCUUUGUGUGUGUUUGUGUGUGUGUGUGUGAAUGGGGUGGAGGAGAGUAAAGGGAUACUCGCCAUGAGUGGUUAGAUAGUGAAAUAAGCUCCAUGUUGCAGAAUAUCCUUCAUCAAAGUGAGCAUUUAAUUAAUUCAAGAGCACACCUGUCAUUUUAAUUAUGAUUCUGUCCAUAAAUUUUAGUGCCUGUGAGAGGUGCUGAGGCAGAUUACGUUUCCACCUUUCCUGGCACAAUAACAAAGGAGGACGAACUCUGCAGUCACUGCCUCUAUCCCCUCUGCCUCCGUGUGGGACCUGGAUACCAAAAGCCAGGAUCACAUUAAAUUGUGUGGAGUGUUCCUACAUAUUUCACAGCUCUUGUUGCUAUGGUGAAUGAUAUCUGUUUUUCUAUUUAAUGGUUAACUGGUUAUUGCCAACAUGUACCAUUACAUUUUCAUGGCUCACUUUGGCAACCCAAGAUUUGAUCUUCUCUUCAGAUUGCUCUAUUGCUCGGUCCCCUUGAAGAUGGAAAGGUGACCAUGAUGGUGACAGAGGUGAAGCUUGCUGGGGGUGAAGCGAUUUUCUAGCAAGCGUGGGGUAGAGGUAUCUGGCUGCUUCAGCAUGGCAUUGGAGGAACCCUGGGAGUGCAGCCCCGAGCAACACUGGGCUGGGACGUGUUGGCAAUGGGGUCUCCACUGCAGAACCCUCUUUCAGUCACUCACACGUAUAGUGCAUUUGGGCCUUCCUAAUUGUGUGGCUUCAGGCUCUGUCCUGCUGCCCUCCCACAAAUUCUGUGAACUGGCUAAUAUCCUUUAAUAGUUUCCUUUCUUAUUUAAACUGAGCCUAAUCCCUUACCCACAAUCUGUGGAUUACUCUGUAGCAAUUGUUAUGUGAUCAAAGCCAAAUGCAGUAUCACCAAACAAAACGGAAGAUUUCUUCAUGUACGUAUGUAUUGGUAAGUGUGAGGAGAACCUAGAGACUACAAACCCAGAUGAUAGCAAUGGCCACCUUUGGGGAAGGGAGUGGGGGAAAUUAGCGUAGACCUGUAUACUCUGUAUACUUUUUUCGGAAUGUUUUACAAAAACAAUGCUUUCAGGUAUUGCUUAUGUAUUCAACAUGGCGAAACAAAACAAU
rnacentral:lncRNA from 1 species